UACGGAGGAUCCGAGCGUUAUCCGGAUUUAUUGGGUUUAAAGGGUGCGUAGGCGGCUUUAUAAGUCAGAGGUGAAAGACGGCAGCUCAACUGUCGCAGUGCCUUUGAUACUGUAUAGCUUGAAUACCGUUGAAGAUGGCGGAAUGAGACAAGUAGCGGUGAAAUGCGUAGAGAUAUGUCUCAGAACUCCGAUUGCGAAGGCAGCUGUCUAAGUCAUUAUUGACGCUGAUGCACGAAAGCGUGGGGAUCGAACAGG
rnacentral:rRNA from 1 species